rnacentral:rRNA from 1 species
GAACGACUCUCGACAACGGAUAUCUCGGCUCUCACAUCGAUGAAGAACGCAGCGAAAUGCGAUACCUGGUGUGAAUUGCAGAAUCCCGUGAACCAUCGAGUCUUUGAACGCAAGUUGCGCCCCAGGCCUUCGGGCUGAGGGCACGCCUGCCUGGGUGUCACGC